GUUGCAUUCCGGAGACAAAGGCAUGAAAACGGUGAAGGGCAUGGUGAAGAUCACGGGGAGGUACAAGGAGUUGAUCAUCGGUGAGGGCGGGGAGAACAUCGCUCCAGUCCCUAUUGAGGAUCACGUGAAAGCAGCUUGCGA
rnacentral:snRNA from 1 species